GAAAGGAGCUGGAGGGAGGUGGACUGGGCUGGGCUCCGAGACUAGGCAGAAAAGCGGGACAGAGAAGCCCAGAGAAAAAGAGGAAGGGAUCCCCGGUGGCUACUGCCACCCACAGGGACAGGUCCUCAAAACCAGGAGGCAGACCCCCAGGAAGAUUCUCAGCCGUUUGAGGCUGCCCGGCGUCGGGGCGUCGGCGAGCGGCUAUCUCAAGGCGCAAGUGCACAAAAGAUAGCUCGAGUCUCUUCUCAGGCGAUCCAAGAUAAGAGGAAACGAGAGCCAGGUUUUCUGACUUCCAACUCAUUAGGGACCAGAUCUGAUAACCCUUACCCAGGGAUGCUGAAGAAUGCCUAGCCACCUCCUGUUGCUAACUCACAUGACUACACUUGGGAUCUCUGAAUCCUGCACAUAUCCAGAUGAGCAA